GCUCCCACACUUUCUCCUUCUCUUAACUCCACCAUUGCCUCCUCCCUCCCCUUGUUCUCCCCGCCAGCCCCAGGGACAUGAAGCACUUGGAUUGUCGGGAGCUGCCCGCCUUCAGCCACCGGCCAGUGGCCAGCACCCCGGGUUCGGCCCUCUGCCAGUGCGGGCUCAAAGGCCCCACGCCCACGCAGCCAAUCCUCACAUGACGGUGACCAGAGGCCACUUGAGCUCAGGCACCUCGGCUGGCACGUACUCCACCCUCCAGGGCUCGGGGCAUGACGGGCACCUCGGCUGGCACGUACUCCACCCUCCAGGGCUCGGGGCAUGACGGGCACCUCGGCUGGCACGUACUCCACCCUCCGGGGCUCGGGGCAUGACGGGCACCUCGGCUGGCACGUACUCCACCCUCCGGGGCUCGGGGCAUGACGGGCACCUCGGCUGGCACGUACUCCACCCUCCGGGGCUCGGGGCAUGACGGGCACCUCGGCUGGCACGUACUCCCUCCGGGGCUCGGGGCAUGACGGGCACCUCGGCUGGCACGUACUCCACCCUCCGGGGCUCGGGGCAUGACGGGCACCUCGGCUGGCACGUACUCCACCCUCCGGGGCUCGGGGCAUGACGGGCACCUCGGCUGGCACGCACUCCACCCUCCGGGGCUCGGGGCAUGACGGGCACCUCGGCUGGCACGUACUCCACCCUCCGGGGCUCGGGGCCUGAGGAGCAGAAGGUGGCCCUGGGCAGAUGCUCUGCGUGCGGGAGGCUGCGCUUUCAGUCAUUAUUUGGAUUUCGUUUUCCACAUGAAAAUAUUUAGAGAUCCAGCUCUUGGAAGCCAAGGAGAAACUGGCUUUUAAGGUAAAGGAAGGCAAGUUUGCCGAGGUGAUGGGAAGACACCUUGCAACUGCGAAACCUCCAAAUUUACCGGUAGAACCUGGCACACAGCUUUUGCCGUCGUUUGGAGAAUUACUGCGUGCACUGCCGUUCGCUCAGAGCCAUUGUGCACGUUUGUUUCUCUGAUCACUAACAGCCUGCACGUUUCCAGCGUUUCCAGUUUCCAGCGUUGUAUGGGGAUUUCCACGUGUUUCAGUCGCUUAUUAGCUUUUGUGGCUUCAGGGUGAGCCGUGGCGUCUGAGACACCCAGCCACAUCGUUCCGCUGUGGGCGGGGCAUUGAAGACAGGUCUGAAAACGUUCCAGCUCUUGCUGGAAGGGACGUCAUUUCUGAACACGUGAGGGGUCUGAGUUUCUUUACGACAGCAGCUUCUAUUGAGCGAAAUGGUCAGAAAACCAUUGCUCUAGUUAAUAUUUUAGAUAGUUGCAAGUUACUCCAUUUACCAUAUAUACUUUACAACUUUCCAAAGAGUUAAAAUACAGAAGGGGCCUUACUUCCAAAUAUGAAGUGUGUGGGUGCACCGGUUGUUUCAAAUUCAGAACGUGUUUUCCACAAUGACAACGUCAUAAAUGCCGUUGAGAUUCCCAGGCCGGCUCCUAGAAACCCUUAAUAGUAGAAAACCAUAGGGGGAAACACCAGUAAUUAGACAGAACAGAAUACAAUUGCUUUUUUAAAAGUUAUUUUGAUCCCUGGUGGUCAAAUGAAAAACAUGAUCAUGGGAGGCCAUGGAAGGUGAGCCGUCGAUAUUCCGAAGGGAAGCCGGGAUCCGUCCAAGGGCGUUCGAGAUAAAAGCAGGAGCAAAGGCCACGUCGGGGACAUGAUACAUCACAACAUGCAGGCAGCAUGGCCCUGAGUCACCACGUGGAGACAAGCCUCAAGAGGACUCCACUUCCCAGUGGACGUUGCACGAGCAAGCAGGAAACCUCUUCUGUGAGCCCCUGAGGUUCAGGGUUUUUUGUUUUUUUUUAGUACCAUGGCUACUGUGACGUAUCCUGACUAAUGCCGACAGCACAGGGAGCCUUUGCCUGCCGGAGGAAGCGGUGAGGAAGAGGUGGUGCGUCGUGCACUUCCUGUUGCUGUUUUAGGACAGCUUGGGUGAGUCCAGCAUUAAAAAUCAGAAUGGGAAAAAGGAGAGGAAACCCGGAAGGGUCUACAUGGGAAAGCCAGGGUCUGCGGAAGACAGAUUGUCUCUCCCAGGAUGCCUGGUGUUUUUGGAGGGGCACGCAGCAGUUGGAGGUUUGCAUUUCAGGAUUUGCCUUACAUUAAAAUGCAAUUUAUCUGUUAAUUCUAUUUACUUAUUUAACUCACAUGGAUUAACUGCCUAUUCUGUGUACCAGACGUAGUUUGUUCCAGGGAAGUGCUGCUGAACCAGGUAAACCCAGCCCCCCAUCUCCAGGAGCAGAGGCUGCAAGGACAGGAAGACAAUGAGGCAAUGGUGUGCUGGGGGAAUCGUGCUAAAGUGAAAGCAUCCUUCGAUCAUUUUUAAGUCAUUCUAGGAUCUUCAGGGCAUCAAAGUUUUGCCUGUGAGCCUCAAUUGGUCUAAUACAAAAAUACAGACUGUGGUUAAUCAUCUGAGCUUUGAGAUCAUGUGAGAUUGUAAUCCUGCCUUGGUUCUGCCACUUACUGCUGGUGAAGGAAAAAUUAAUCUUUCCAAACAGCUUGCAAGACAGAAAUCAUGCUUUCUACCUCCCAAAGCUGCUGUGGGCAUGAAACAGCCCACGUGCAUGAGGUGCCCAGCAUAGCGCCUGGAAAUCACACACAAUCACAGAAUCAUGGGGCCAGAGGAGGCCCUUGAAGUUUUAUCUGAUUUACUCCUCCCAUGAGAUGCUUUAAUUCUCCAACUUCUCCUCAAUGGCACCUAUAAAGAAAUGGGUUCUCCCUCUGUUGUUCUCUCUCUCGCUCUCAAGCUCUUUUAGUACUUAGAGUUACGCCACUUCAUUUGAAGUUUAACAUGGUAAAUCUUAGAGACCAUCCAAGUCCAACACAUUUAUUUUAUUUUUUUUUCUGAGACUGAGUUUUGCUCUUGUUGCCCAGGCUGGAGUGCAAUGGCACGAUCUCAGCUCACUGCAACCUCUGCCUCCCAGGUUCAAAUGAUUCUUUUGCCUCAGCCUCCUGAGUAGCUGGGAUUACAGGCAUGCGCCACCAUGUCCGCCUAAUUUUGUAUUUUUAGUAGAGACGGGUUUUCUCCAUGUUGGUCAGGCUGGUCUUGAACUCCUGACCUCAGGUCAUCCGCCCUCCCUUGGCCUCCCAAAGUGCUGGGAUUACAGGCGUGAACCACCACGCAUGGUCCCAACACCCUUAUUUUAAUGCUGUUAAUGUCACUGGAUUUCAUUUUUGGCCCAGCAUCUGCUUUCUCUUGUGGAAUGUGCCACGUGCAGUGGAGAAGAAUGUGUAUUUUCCAGGCGGUGGGUGCAGUGUUCAUCAUUUGGGUCAAGGUGAUGGAUGGUGUUGUUCAGAUAUUUGUCUUUACUGAUAUUUUUGUUGAGGGAUGUUGAAGUCCCUAAUUAUGAUUGUGGAAUCAUUUAUUUCUCCCUUUAACUCUGGAUGUUUGCAUCAUGUGUUCAGAAGCUGUUACAAGGUGGGUUCAACUCUACGACUGUCAGGUCUUUCUGAAGAGCCUUCCCUUCAGCAUUAUGAAGCGUCCCUCUUUAUUUCUAAUAAUACAUUUUGUCUAAAUGUCUAUUUUAUCUGAUAUUCACAGAGCUUCUCUAGUAUUCGUAUACUUACUGUUUGCAUGGUAUUUUCUUUUCCUUUCAUUUACUUUCAAUCAAUAUGUCUUCAUAUUUAAAGUGAAUCUCUAAGAACACUACAAUCUAAUUAGACAAAAAAUAAAGCAAAUCUUUUAGAGAUAGUAUAUAGUUGAAUCUUGCUUUCAAAAACUGUCUGACAAUCUGUCUUCUAAUUGGAGUGUUUAUUCUAUUCAUAUUCAAUGUAGUUGUUCAUAUGGUUGGAUUUAGGCCUACUUUUUGGGAGACAGGGGACAGAGUCUCACUCUGCCACCCAGGCUGAGUACAGUGGCAUGAUCAUGGCUCACUGCAGGCUCAGCCUCCCAGGGUCAAGCAAUCCUCCCAUCUCAGCCUCCCAAGUAGCUAGACUACCAGCACGUGCCACCACACUCAGCUAAGCAUCUUUUAUUAUUUGUUUUCUGUUUGUUUCCUCUGUUGUGGUUCUCUGUUCCUCCUAUUCUGCCUUCAUUUGAAUUAUGUUAAUGUUUUUUAGAAUUCCAUUGUACUGGUUUUAUUGACUUUUUAGCUAUAAAUACUCUCGGCAUUUUUAAGUGGCGGCUAAUGGAAUUCCAGUGCACAUCCUUAGAGUUUUCUUAGGGUUAAUAGUGUAACAUCUUAUGUACAUUUGUAAACCUUGCAGCAAAAUAAGUCCAUCUGCUUCCCCUUCCUCCGUUUUUUAAUGCUAUAGUUGCCAUAGGUAUUACAUCCACAUACUUUAUAAGCCUCACAAGAAAAUGUUUUACUUUUUGCUUUGAACAGUCACAUGCUUUGAACAGUCUUAAAUUAAAAGGAAAAUUAGUCUUUUGUAUUUAUCCAGCUAUUUACAAUUUCAGAUUUCUUCAUUCUUUCCCAAAGGUGCAAGUUUCCAUCUGGUAUUAUUUCUCUUUAGCCUCAAAAACCUCCUCUAGCAUUUCUUGUAGUCCAGAUCUGUUGGCAAUGAAUUAUUAUAGCCUUCUUUUAUCUGAAAAUGUUUUAAUUUUACAUUUAUCUUGAAAAGACAUUUUUUACUGGUUGUAUAAGUUUGUGUGACUAUUUUUUUUCUUUUAGCUUGUUUGGGUGGUUGUUCCACCAUAUUCUGGCUUCCAUAGUUUCUGAUGAGACGUCAGUAGUACCUGGAGUUGCUACUUCUCUCUAUAUAAUGUGUCAUUUUUCAUUUGCUGUGUUCCAGAUUUUUUUGGCUUGUUUUUCUUUGUAUUUAUUGAUCUUGAGGCUUAUGGAGCUUCUUAAAGUUGUAAAAUUAUGUCUUUCACCAAAUUUGGGCAUUUUUGGACAAUUACAUCUUCAAAUAUUUUUUGCCCCCUUCUCUCCUCUUUUUAUGGGACUCCAGUUCCAUGGAUGUUUAACAUUUGAUGUGGUCUUUCAAGUUCCUGAGGUUCUUGUUAGUUAUCCAUUGCUGCAUAACAAAUUACCCCCCAAACAGUUGGGGGUUAAACAAUAAUCAUAAUUUAUUACCUGUCUGUGGUUUCUGUGGGCCAGAAUCCACACAGGGCACUGUGAGGACAGACUGUCUCUCCUGGGAUGCCUGGCAUUUCAGCUGGAAUACUGAAGCCUGAAGGUUGGAGUCAUCUGAAGGUGCUCUCACCCACACAUCUGGCAAGUGGAGGGCUGAGGGCCCAGUGUGGCUAUUGGCCAAACACCCACGUGUGGGCUCUCCGUGUGGCCAGGACUGCCUCACAACACAGUGGCUGGGUUUGAAGGGCAAGCACGGGGGUUGGAGGCAGAAGUCAUGUUGCCUGUGGCGACCUGGCCUGGGAGUACCACAGUGUCACUUCCCCUGUCUCCUUUUGGUUGGGAAAGUUUCAGGGGUCUGACCAGCUAGAGUCCGCCCAGAGUCUGCCUAACUGGAGACUCUGGAUUUUGCUCUACCCCUGUUUAUUUGUUCAUUUGUUUGUUUAACCUGAUCGAUCUCAAACUGCAAACUGUUUAUUGGGUGGCAGCUCAAAUCUCAGAAAAAUUUGUAAAUUCUCCACUGGUGUGCUUUGUGUCUUCCUUGUGCACGCAUGUUUCAGGAGCUAGCCAGAGAUCUGGGCAGAGUUCAUGGCUCUCUCUCCCUUUCUCUCUCAAAAUUCUCCUCCUUUUCCAGAGGCUGUGUUUUCCCUGAACUCUGGCAUCCAGUCUUCAGGCAAGGACAACUUCUAUUAUGGUUUUAGCUGCCCCUACAGCACCAACUACAAUACACCCUUAGGAUAAAUCCAUAGAAAUGAGAAACUUGUUCUGUGUUACCACCUAAGAUCUACGCUUUAGCAAAUUUCAAGUAUAAAAUACAGUAUUAUGAACUAUAGUCACCAUGGUGGACAUGAGGUCUCCAGAAUUUAUUCCCCCUGCAUAACUGGAACUUUGCACCCUUUGACCAACACUUCCUCAACUUUCCCACCCCAGCUCCUGGCUGCCACCAUCCUACUCUCUGCUCCUAUGAGUGGCACUAUUUUAGAUUCCACAGAUAAGUGAGAUAUUGUGGUAUUUGUCCUCUGUGAUCAGCUUAUUUCACUUAGCAUGAUGUCCUUCAGGUUCAUCCAUGUUGUUGCAAAUGGCAGGAUGUCCUUCUUUUGAAAGACUGAGUAAAAUUCCACUGGGGACAGGUAUACACCACAUCCUCUUUACCUGUUUAUCCGUCCAUGGAUAUUAGGCUGUUUCCAUAUCCUGGCUAUUGUGAAUAAUAUGCCAGUGAACACGGGAGUGGAGGCAUCUCUUUGAGAUUUGGAUUUCAUUUUCUUUGGGUAUAUCCCCAGAAGUGGGAUUGCUGGAUCAUAUGGUGGCUAUGUUUUUAAUUUUUUGAGGCAUCUCCAUACUGUUUUCCAUAAUGGCUGUAUCAAUUUACAUUCCCACUAACAGUUCUAAGGGUUCCCUCUUCUUGACACCCUCCAUUCCUAAUGGUUUUGUGUAAAUGCGCAGGUCUCACCUCCACAGUUGGGUUGUAAUCCCGAGAGCAGAGCUGCAGUCCUCAUGCCUGCUGACCCUGCAGGGUGUGGUGUCUCUGUCCAUCCAAGGACCAGCCCUGUUCAUUGUCUAACACAGCAGCAGAAGCUGUGCACACUGACUUUCCCUACAAGAGCAGUGACCAGAGAAAGUUUAAUUUAUUCCACGCAGAAAUAUGGCUGAGGAGGGGAUGUUGACCUGCAGAUGACAUCACGGCGGCCACACACGUGCCUGGGGCUGCUGGAGAUGCUGGUUGGGGAGGAGUUUGGCCUUCUGAGGAGGAAGUCCCAGAGCAGACUUUGGCUCAACUCUAAGGUACAUUUGAGCUUGUAGAGGGAUCCCCGCCGCUCUCCUGCCUGUGAGCUCGCCCUUGGGCUUGGCAGCCGUGGUGCCUCCUGCCUGUGAACGCCCCUCUCCUCCUUUCUGUGAACGUCCCUCUCCUUCCUGUGAACGUCCCAGACUCUCCUCCUGCCUGUGAACGUCCCUCUCCUGCCCGUGAACGUCCCUCUCCUGCCCGUGAACGCCCCUGUCCUCCUGCUCCGCUCUCUCGACCUUUCCUUCCUUUUGUUGGAGAAUAAAGACCUGCGUCUCAUGGAGGUGGGGCCCAAUACCUGUUGGGAGGCCGGGGCUGGCAAACAAUGAAAAGAUCGCUGUUUUCCAAACUCACUCAAAGGCUUGUCGAUUCGACCUUUACUUCCAGAUCAGAGAAAAUGAUUUUGAUUUCAUGUUUUUGUUACCACGACGUUUGAAGGUGUGACCUUUAAAGCGACUUUUGUCUCCCGCUCAAACGCUUCUUGCCCCUUUCGGUUUUGUGCUGAAAUCAAAGUUGAUUCGGUUGCACCAAAGGCCUCCGUCAUUUUGGCUUCUGCCUGACGCGCACUGUGGGAAGAACGGUUUCAUUAUUGUGGGUCGCACCUCACCUCCCUUCGUGCU
rnacentral:lncRNA from 1 species